rnacentral:lncRNA from 1 species
AUGUAUGUAUUAAAAAUCUCAAAUGCAGAAGCGUAAUAAAAAUUUUGAUUAAUAUCCCUUACACAAUAACCAAAAGGUACUCAAAACAUGAAGGAACAAACUAACUAUAAGAGAUACUCGAAAUAAGAACUAUAAAUAUAACUAUGAAAUCUUUAGGCAUUCCCUUCGCCGUCUUCCUGCUGAACGGGCUCGGGAACAACGUCUUCCUGAUCUGAAAUGGUUAAAUAAAGAAUGAGCUACACCAGCCCAGUAAAGACAUCACACUAUCUCACCACCACGAAAGUAAAGGUGGGUAGAAAAUAAAAAUAACCAAUGGAGCAUAAUUUAUAACAAACUCGUUUAUUAACAUAAGAACUUUUACUGUCCACUUACCUCGGUGAGAUCCAUAAAAACAACAUAUGAAAGCAAUAACAUUAUCAUCAUCAUGAAAUCAUAUAAACUUUAUAAUAUAACACUUACCACGCCUUUGCAUUUCAAUCAUUAAAUAACAUAUUUUCCUCUUUUACCAGCCUACUAGUAUCCAUGGGAAUCCAUAGGGGGUCCCCGCUACCCGUGAACCAUUAACAUUACAACCUGAUUCCAGGGCCGUCCCCAUACCCCGUCCGGUAUGGGCACCAAAACCAUGAACCUCAAUACCCAGUCCGGUAUAAGGGUGAAACGGGUCGUCCCCAUACCCCGUCCGGUAU